CUAUUACUCCCUCCGUUUCGAAUUACUUGUCUUGGAUUUGUCUAGAUACGGAUGUAUCUAGACUCAUUUUAGUGUUAGAUACAUCCGUAUCUAGACAAAUCUAAGACAAGUAAUUCGGAACGAAGAGAGUACAAU
rnacentral:pre_miRNA from 1 species